rnacentral:lncRNA from 1 species
AAACAUUUCCUUCACGACUGAAACAUUCUCACUAAAACACUCUUCCUUCCUUAGGUUUUCUUCAAAAAUGUUAAUGGAGGGUUUUCAAAUUUAAAUCCAAAACCGUGAGGAUAUGAGAAAUCAAAAUCCUAACACCUUCAAAAUUUUGAAACGCCCAAACAACGAAACUUCGAAGUUCUCGUUCUUUCUCCAUUUGGAAAAUGUGUUCUCAAUCUCUCUUUCGUUCCAAAAUUGCAACCC